AACCCUAUGUUAGUUGCCAUCAUUCAGUUGGGCACUCUAGCGAGACUGCCGGUAAUAAACCGGAGGAAGGUGGGAUGACGUCAAAUCAUCAUGCCCUUAUGACCUGGGCUACACACGUGCUACAAUGGUUGGUACAACGAGUUGCGAGUCGGUGACGGCGAGCUAAUCUCUUAAAGCCAAUCUCAGUUCGGAUUGUAGGCUGCAACUCGCCUACAUGAAGUCGGAAUCGCUAGUAAUCGCGGAUCAGCACGCCGCGGUGAAUACGUUCCCGGGCCUU
rnacentral:rRNA from 1 species